UACGGGGGGAGCAAGCGUUGUUCGGAUUUACUGGGCGUAAAGGGCGCGUAGGCGGUCGUGACAAGUCACUUGUGAAAUCUCCGGGCUUAACUCGGAACGGUCAAGUGAUACUGUCGGACUAGAGUACAGAAGGGGCAACUGGAAUUCUCGGUGUAGCGGUGAAAUGCGUAGAUAUCGAGAGGAACACCUACGGCGAAGGCGGGUUGCUGGGCUGACACUGACGCUGAGGCGCGAAAGCCAGGGGAGCGAACGGG
rnacentral:rRNA from 1 species